CUUUUUGAGGAUUUGAUCCUGGUCCAGGAUGAACGUUGGCGGCGUGGAUAAGGCAUGCAAGUCGAACGGUGUCUAUGCGGCACGCAAUUCGGAAUCGAAAGAUUGUUGGUUGCGUGUCGUGUAUACAUAGUGGCGAACGAGUUAGUAACACCUUGGAAUCUACCCUGAAGACGGGCAUAACCAGCCGAAAGGUUGGAUAAUUCCCGAUAAUCCCGCAAGGGCAAAGUCGCAAGACGCUUUAGGAGGAGCCUAGGUCCCAUCAGCUUGUUGGCGAGGUAAGAGCUCACCAAGGCUACGACGGGUAGGGGGGCUGAGAGGCUGAUCCCCAACGGCGGCACUGAGACACGGGCCGCACACCUACGGGUGGCAGCAGUCGAGAAUAUUCCACAAUGGGCGAAAGCCUGAUGGAGCGACGCCGCGUGCAGGAUGACACUCUUCGGAGCGUAAACUGCUUUUCUACGGGAGGAAUGAAAAUGACAUUACUGUAGGAAUAAGAGGCUGCAAACUUCGUGCCAGCAGCCGCGGUAAUACGAAGGCCUCAAACGUUAUCCGGAUUUAUUGGGCGUAAAGGGCGCGUAGGAGGUCCGAUUAGUCUCCAGUUAAAUCUUAGAGCUCAACUCUAAGGCUGCUGGGGAAACUAUCGGACUAGAGGAAGUCAGAGGCUGAUGGAACGCACGGUGUAGGGGUGAAAUCCGUUGAUAUCGUGCGGAACACCAAAGGCGAAGGCAUUCAGCUGGGGCUUUCCUGACUCUGAGGCGCGAAAGCGUGGGGAGCAAAAAGGAUUAGAUACCCUUGUAUUCCACGCCCUAAACGAUGUCGAUUAGCUGUCGGAAGUAUCGACCCUUUCGGUGGCGUAGCUAACGCGUUAAAUCGACCGCCUGGGAAGUACGAGCGCAAGCUUAAAACUCAAAGGAAUAGACGGGGACUCGCACAAGCGGUGGAGCAUGUGGUUUAAUUCGAUGGUAAACGAGAAACCUUACCAGGGUUUGAAAUGCCGUCCUUAUGUUUUUUCCGAAAGGAAGAAGUUUUACUUUACUGUGAAGGGACGGUCCAGGUGAUGCAUGGUUGUCGUCAGCAUGUGCCGUGAGGCGCUCCCUUAAAUGGGGUAACAUGCGCAACCUCUGUUCUGAGUUACAAGUGUCUCAGGAGACAGCCCCCAUCAUAUUUCGCAAUUAAUUUUGUGGACUAUGAUGGGGGAGGAAGGUGGAGAUGACGUCAAAUCCGCAUGUCCCUUUGAUACCCUGGGCUACACACAUGCUACAAUGGCCAAUACAAUGGGUUGCUAAGUUGAAAAAUGGAGCUAAUCCCAUCAAAGUUGGCCCCAGUUCGGAUUGAAGUCUGCAACUUGACUUCAUGAAGUCGGAAUCGCUAGUAAUCGCGGAUCAGCAUGCCGCGGUGAAUACGUUCUCGAGUCCUGUACUCACCGCCCGUCAAUGCAAGGGAGCCGGGAGCACCUAAAGUUCCAUUUCGGUGGGAUUAGGGUGAGUUCGGUGACAUGGCAUAAGUCGUAACAAGGCACGUGUAGCGGAAGCUGUGCGUGGAUUAAUUAAAUU
rnacentral:rRNA from 1 species